UGGAGGCGGCGGCUACACAUGCAGUCGAGCGGCAGCACAAGUGAGUUUACUCCUGAGGUGGCGAGCGGCGGACGGGUGAGUAAUGCCUAGGGAUCUGCCCAGUCGAGGGGGAUAACAGUUGGAAACGACUGCUAAUACCGCAUACGCCCUACGGGGGAAAGGAGGGGACCUUUUGGCCUUCCGCGAUUGGAUGAACCUAGGUGGGAUUAGCUAGUUGGUGAGGUAAUGGCUCACCAAGGCGACGAUCCCUAGCUGUUCUGAGAGGAUGAUCAGCCACACUGGGACUGAGACACGACACAUACUUAUACGGGAGGCAGCAGUGGGGAAUAUUGCACAAUGGGGGAAACCCUGAUGCAGCCAUGCCGCGUGUGUGAAGAAGGCCUUCGGGUUGUAAAGCACUUUCAGUAGGGAGGAAAGGUUGUAAGUUAAUACCUUGCAGCUGUGACGUUACCUACAGAAGAAGGACCGGCUAACUCCGUGCCAGCAGCCGCGGUAAUACGGAGGGUCCAAGCGUUAAUCGGAAUUACUGGGCGUAAAGCGUGCGCAGGCGGUUUGUUAAAGCGAGAUGUGAAAGCCCCGGCCUCAACCUGGGAAUUGCAUUUCGAACUGACAAACUAGAGUCUUGGAGAGGGGGGUAGAAUUCCAGGGUGUAGCGGUGAAAUGCGUAGAGAUCUGGAGGAAUACCGGUGGCGAAGGGCGGCCCCCCUGGACAAAGACUGACGCUCAGGCACGAAAGCGUGGGGAGCAAACAGGAUUAGAUAUCCUGGUAGUCCACGCCGGAAACGAUGUCUACUCGGGAGUUGGUGUCUUGAACACUGGGCUCUCAGGCUAACGCAUUAAGUUAGACGGCUGGGGAGUACGGACGCAGGUUUAAACUUCAAUGGAUUGCACCGGGGCGCCGCACAAGCGGUGGAGCAUGUGUUUAAUUCGAUGCCCACGCAAACACCUUAACCUCACCUCUUGACAUUCAAAAGAACUUCCGAGAAAUG
rnacentral:rRNA from 1 species